rnacentral:misc_RNA from 1 species
GAUGAAGAACGCAGCGAAAUGCGAUAAGUAAUGUGAAUUGCAGAAUUCAGUGAAUCAUCGAAUCUUUGAACGCACAUUGCGCCCGGCAGUAAUCUGCCGGGCAUGCCUGUCCGGGCGUCAUUCCACCCCUCGAGCCGCUUUUAGUGGAUCGGUGUUGGGGCACUACGGUAAAACGUAGGCCCUGAAAUGAAGUGGCGGUCCCGCCGCGGUGCCCCCAUGCGUAGUAACGUUUAGUCUCGCAUCGGGUCCCGGCGGAGGCCUGCCGUCAAGCCUAUUUAUUCUCAGAAUAGUUUGACCUCGGAUCAGGUAGGGUUACCCGCUGAACUUAAGCAUAUCAAUAAGCGGAGGA